rnacentral:rRNA from 1 species
GGCGAACGGGUGCGUAACACGUAAGUAAUCUACCUCAAACUUUGGGAUAACCUCUCGAAAGGGGGGCUAAUACCAAGUAGUUCCUAAUGGCAUAAGCUGUGGGGGGAAAGUGGGCCUCUAAAUUAUGCUCGCGGUUUGAGAUGAGCUUGCGGUCCAUUAGCUUGUUGGUAGGGUAAUGGCUUACCAAGGCGACGAUGGAUAGCUGGUCUGAGAGGAUGAUCAGCCACACUGGCACUGAGACACGGGCCAGACUCCUACGGGAGGCAGCAGUGGGGAAUUUUGCGCAAUGGGCGAAAGCCUGACGCAGUAACGCCGCGUGGAGGAUGAAGGCCUUUGGGUUGUAAACUCCUGACAGGGGGGAAGAUAAUGCUGUAGCAAAUAGCUUCAGCAUUAUGACGGUACCCCCAAAGGAAGCCCCGGCUAAUUCCGUGCCAGCAGCCGCGGUAAUACGGAAGGGGCAAGCGUUGUUCGGAAUUAUUGGGCGUAAAGGGCGCGUAGGCUGUCCCAUAUGUCCGCUGUGAAAUCACACGGCUCAACCGUGUUGGGUCGGCGGAAACUGUGAGACUUGA